CUGACACAGGGAGGUAGUGACAAGAAAUAACAAUACAGGGCUACAUCUAGUCUUGUAAUUGGAAUGAGUACAAAUUAUACUUCUUAACGAGGAUCCAUUGGAGGGCAAGUCUGGUGCCAGCAGCCGCGGUAAUUCCAGCUCCAAUAGCGUAUAUUAAAGUUGUUGCAGUUAAAACGCUCGUAGUCGGAUUUCGGGGCGGGUCUACCGGUUUGCCGAUGGGUAUAUACUGGCGGGCGCGUCCUUCCUUCCGGAGACCGCGCCUCCUCUUAACUGAGCGGGCGUGGGAGACGGAUCGUUUACUUUGAAAAAAUCAGAGUGUUUCAAGCAGGCAUGUCGCUCUUGCAUGGAUUAGCAUGGGAUAAUGAAAUAGGACUUUGGUGCUAUUUUGUUGGUUUCGAGCACCGAAGUAAUGAUUAACAGGGACAGUCAGGGGCACUCGUAUUCCGCAGAGAGAGGUGAAAUUCUUAGACCCGCGGAAGACGAACCACUGCGAAAGCAUUUGCCA
rnacentral:rRNA from 1 species